rnacentral:misc_RNA from 1 species
CAGAUGUUACAAAGAACUUUUUAGGUAAGAUACAGUUCUGAAAACUGAUAUUUCAUGCACCAAACUAAAAGUUUCUACUUUGAAUGCCUGCAUAUCUUUGUUGAGGGUGGAGGGAUGAGGGCUACCUCUGAUUGUGAAGCUCUAUUAUGAGUUUAAUUUGUUGCAGAUUUAUUUCUUUUCUUAAAAAGUUGAAAACAGAGUUGAUGUUGCAUCUUAGUAUGUGUUUCAGAAUGGUUCCAAGUAUCACUCCUAUCUCCACCACUCCACCAACCCCCAACCCCCUGUGUUCUUUACAUUUUGCAGCAUUAAUUUUUUUUCUUUCCUGAUAGCUGAUUCAUAUUUGUACUGAGUGUUGGUCGUAAAAUUUCAUUUUUGUAGCAAUGUAGCUAUGUUGGCUGAGAAGGGAAGGUACAUUGAUAGCAUUGUUAAGAAAUUUGUGGCGUUGACCAUGGAAGAUAAGGAAGUAUUGAAAGCUAUAGUCACAACUGUCGUUGUAAGUUUGACACUUUGGUUCACUAUCAAACCUAUAUUGUUAAUAUCUGUUGCAGUUCUGUCUCUUAUCUAUUGUAUUUUUCUAUACAUCAGGAUAUCUCCUUGUGGAAUUGAAUUUUGAAACUAUUUGAUAUCUAUGUAAUUUUUACUUUAGUCAGAUGCAUAGUGCCUGUAGCCUGAAUUAUAUUCAAAUCUAUAUUAUCUUCUUGUCACCUAACGUAUUUAGCUGAUCCUUGCAAUUUAUAGUAGUAAUGUUGCAGUUGCCUACUUGCCUGCUGCUUUGUUUUGUGAAUUAGCUGUUGCAAUUUCACUCCCAGCCCUUGCCUCUGUAAGAGAAGAAAGAAUAGAAGGAGACUUUGCAGUAUAAACUUGGGCAGGGGAAGAUAGUUAAGCUAGAACAGAAGAUUGAUCCAGGUAUUCUUGGUGAUCUUGUGCUAGAGUUUGGGCAGAAGGUGUUUUGAUGUGUCCAUUAAGACAAGGGCGAAGCAGAUGGAGGGGUUCCUGCAUGAGCCUAUAAACGUUGGCACCCUUUAAAAGGUGCUGCACCUCUUGGGGAUACCUCUGCAACAACUUCCAUCAAUGCUCUAGGAAGGAAAAUGAUAGGGAUAGAACCAGGAGGAAUGGAUCAAGACCCAAAGGCAUUGUGUUAUAUUACAUGAAACAAUGAAAAAAGAAAAUAUGAAGGGCAGUCUCUACAAGCCAUUGAGGUUCUAUCGUAGAGACUGCCUCUUCUGUUUUCUUCUUUCAUUGCUUCGUCUAAUACACCCUCAAUGGCACUGGGCCUUGAUCCAUUUCUUUUAGUUCCAUCCCUAUCACAAAAUUACUCUGAACCCAUUUUCAUAUGAUGGGAAAGCAUCUCUUCACAAAUAAAAAUUUGUUCGGGUCAGGGCAACCGCUAGCAGACCUCUUGGUAUCCUAUACAUAUAGAGUUUUACGCCCAUUUUUGUGAUGCAUACCAGCUUUUUCUGUUUUUUUUUUUUU